rnacentral:rRNA from 1 species
CAAGUCGAGCGGUAGCACAGAGAGCUUGCUCUCGGGUGACGAGCGGCGGACGGGUGAGUAAUGUCUGGGAAACUGCCUGAUGGAGGGGGAUAACUACUGGAAACGGUAGCUAAUACCGCAUAAUGUCGCAAGACCAAAGUGGGGGACCUUCGGGCCUCAUGCCAUCAGAUGUGCCCAGAUGGGAUUAGCUAGUAGGUGGGGUAACGGCUCACCUAGGCGACGAUCCCUAGCUGGUCUGAGAGGAUGACCAGCCACACUGGAACUGAGACACGGUCCAGACUCCUACGGGAGGCAGCAGUGGGGAAUAUUGCACAAUGGGCGCAAGCCUGAUGCAGCCAUGCCGCGUGUGUGAAGAAGGCCUUCGGGUUGUAAAGCACUUUCAGCGGGGAGGAAGGCGAUAAGGUUAAUAACCUUGUCGAUUGACGUUACCCGCAGAAGAAGCACCGGCUAACUCCGUGCCAGCAGCCGCGGUAAUACGGAGGGUGCAAGCGUUAAUCGGAAUUACUGGGCGUAAAGCGCACGCAGGCGGUCUGUCAAGUCGGAUGUGAAAUCCCCGGGCUCAACCUGGGAACUGCAUUCGAAACUGGCAGGCUAGA